rnacentral:lncRNA from 1 species
CUGACUUAUUGAAUACUCUUCAAAAGAAGGUAUCGAAAGCAGGAAAAGGUUUCCGUUUUGAUGUUUUUUACGGUUUACAGAAAUUCAGAUUGAAAGAGUUCUCUCAUAUCAUCUUCGACAGAGGUUUAUAUGCACAUGUGGACUUCCAGUGGGAUUAUUAAAAGGUGUGGAUGUUUCAUCUACAUUUGUAUUUAGAAGUUUUGAUCAGUUAGAUCUGAAUUGGGACCUCCGUGGCAGAGUGGUUAAGGUUGCUGACUUCAAAUCACUUGCAGCGUCCUCACCAAUGUGGGUUCGAGCAUCACUUAGGGAUAGAAUUCUUCCUGUGAGGUAAUCUGACCAGCUGACUUAUUGAAGGUUGUUGGUUAUACCCAGGUGCCUGUCUAUGAUGAAAUAAUACCCAGGGAGCAACUGAGGUCUUCUGCCAUGAUCAAAAGCUGGAAAGUCGCCAUACAACCUAUAACUGUGUCGUUGUGAUGUUAAACAAAAUAAAUAAAAAGAACUGAAUUGCUUAUAUGACUAUAUAACUGUUUAAAUUGUUUUGUGGAAA